AUGGAAAUCCCCUACCUGACUCAAGGUACUAGGAGGAGAGCAAGAGGUUCGCUUCUUCCCAGGUUUUCAAAGACAAGCCAGACUUGAUUGAAAGCCUUCGGAGGUGUGGCAAGACCGCAAAGAUGUGCUUACCCACAUUGACCUCAUAUUGGUAUUACCACCUUGAAGAGAAAGACCAGCCACAGUGACCUCAGUGUUUAUCGGUGAUGUUGUUCUCCCAGCCUUUAUGCCUUCCUACGUACUGUCAAUGACUUUCAUGACAAAAGUAUCCUUUGCAUCCAGAUACGCAAGUAUUUGUCAAAGUAAGUUGCCAGAACAAAAACUGCUUCAGAGAGAGACAAGCGUGCCGUCCCUCUCAGCCCCACCAAUCAAAACCAAAUCUAUCAAUUGGUUGAUUAAGCCCUGAAGUUUGACAAAUCUACCAGUUGAGCUGAAUAAACCUUGAAGCUAUACCUAUAAUAAAUAUAAA
rnacentral:lncRNA from 1 species